AAAUAACAAAAGAGAUGUUUAACCAAAGAAAACAAAGUGAACCAUUGAUACACUGUUUUUCAUCUACAGAUUGGACCUAGACAUCUGGAUUUUGAUAACGCUAUUUUUGCAGGAAUGCAUUUCAAACAUACAUUGUUUGUGAAAGUGUCUGAUGAAGGAAGUCCUGUACUAUCAACAAUUAUUACAGUCAUUGUAAGCGUGAGUCGCAUAAAUGAACUGAAUCCAAUUGGAACUGCAUCAGCAUUUGCCUUCAGUGUAUUUGAAAAUAGUCCACUUGAUACGCUAGUUGGAAAAGUUACAUUUACUCAUGCAGACUGGCCAUUUAAUAAUAUGAAAUAUACCAUUGUUGGAGGCAAUUUGGGAACACCUCCCAAAUUUUACAUUGAACCAGAUACAGGAGUGAUAAAGCUAUUAGAUUCACUAGACAGAGAAAUUGAAUCACAAUACAAGAUAGCUGUGAAAGUAACAGACUUGGACAACGAUGCCAUCCCUGAUCCCCUCAGACAGAGAAGUGGUACUGCUCAGGUGACCAUCAAUGUUCUGGUAAGAAUGAGUCACUGCUUGUGACAUUGUUAUCCCUUUGAAAGCACAUUCUGGAGAAAUAAAAAUGAGGGGAAGUUGUAAAUGGUUAUAUUUCAAAGUCCUUGGUAUGGAUCUAAAUUGAGAGAGUAGCAUAUUGGUCCAAAAAUAUUCUAAUUGUAACAUACAUUGAUACAAUUGUCAUUAUAUGCAAAUUAACCUGUGUGACUUCUAAACUAAUUUGAUUGUCUUACAAAUCUGAACUUGGAUGAAAGGUGCUGAUACCUCUGGUUGUAUUUCAGAAGUUGUUGGAGGGAUUAUUUUGUGGUUAAACAUAUUUCCAUAAGCAAGCAAACAUAUGUCCUAGAGCUUUAAGAAGUUACUUUGAUACAUUUUAAUCCAUUUCGGUGGUUUGCCUGCCUCUUCUCACCCUCUCUGGUUUUCAAGGAAGAAAUAUCUUAAUAUUUUUUACUAAUAAAGAUUCUGAGAGAUCAGCCUCAGAGUCUCACAAACAUGAAGUAUAGAGGCAAAAAAUUCUAAGUUUUUUUUUUAAUUAAUGCAAGGAUAUAUUUUACUUGGCUUGUUCAAGGCUUACAUCAAUAAAAUUCUGUACAUUACUUUCAUUGGCAGACGCAUAUAGAAAGAAAAAUUUGCCUUUAUAGGUAGUGCCAAUUUUUUUAUCUUAUGAUUUUGUUUACACUCUUUUUGGUGCUUGAGAACAGUAAGAAUUCUAACACUGGAUCCUAUGGAAAAGACAAUAACUUCUCAUGAAAAUAUUUAAAA
rnacentral:lncRNA from 1 species